UACGAAGGGUGCAAGCGUUACCCGGAAUUACUGGGCGUAAAGCGUGCGUAGGUGGUUCGUUAAGUCUGAUGUGAAAGCCCUGGGCUCAACCUGGGAAUGGCAUUGGAAACUGGCGACCUAGAGUGCGGUAGAGGGUAGUGGAAUUCCCGGUGUAGCAGUGAAAUGCGUAGAGAUCGGGAGGAACAUCCGUGGCGAAGGCGACUACCUGGACCAGCACUGACACUGAGGCACGAAAGCGUGGGGAGCAAACAGG
rnacentral:rRNA from 1 species